AGUGAGAAUAGUAUCCCUUGAACUCUUCAAAGUUUCCUCCAUAGUGACCAACAUGUUGACCAGUUCGGGUAUAGUGCAAUAAAGUUUGUUCAUAUAAAAAUUUACAAUAAAUUGACUAUAUGAACUAGUAAAAGAUUGAAGGAUCAAAUUCAUCUAUAAUUCUUUUUUCCUAUCAAGUCCAAGCUUCUCAAUCUCCUCAAUAUCCUUGAUCACUAUCAUA
rnacentral:lncRNA from 1 species